AAUAACCGUAACAACAUGUCUGUCUAUGCACUUCUCAUUUUAUUAUUUAUUUUUCUUUUUUUCUUCCCUAUUUAACAUCAAUAUCUGUCAUUUCGUCCGUGGCUUUGACUUCAAGUUAGACACAGUGGUAAGUAUUAUCACUCAUACGUACACACACUGACAGGAAAAGGGAAAACACAAGGAAAAGAAAAGGAAAAGAAAAAAAGUGGGUAAAUAUGUCUUUUCUUCACCUAUUUUCAUUAAGUGACACAAUAACAACUUUCUAUACAACCGCACGUGGCAUUCAGUAAGUAUUACACGCGUACGUACAUACAUACAAACACGUACACGUCACACACCUAUUCAAAAUAUACAACUAAUUACCAUUAUCAUUUACGUGGUAGUCAAUUUGUCCUAAAUAUUAUACACACACACACACACACACACACGUAUUUAAAAUGUGAAACUAACCAGCGCAAACCACUAAACCAUAUGUAAAACAACACAAAACAACCUAAUCAUCACUACCACACACGAUAAUAUACACGAGGAAGAAAAUCAAGAACCGUCACCAUCACAGCUAUUAUCCUUGACUUCGGCUUCGCGGAGGGACGCAGCCGAGACACCAAGGCAUUCGAACGAGGGCAUCAUGGCGGCGAGGAGGAGGCGGCUGGAGCGGAGGAGGAAAAUAUUGACAGUUUUUCUACAUAUUCCACGACGUUUCUCAGAAUCCAGACACCGUGAGAGCAAGACAGGUGUGUUUAUGCCCCCCUGUCUCCCCCCGUCGCCGCUCCUGACACCACACCUGCUGGACACGACGGUUUUUGGGUCGCGGGCCGCUGUGCAGGGACGUGAUGGCUGCGUGGUAAAGUACUGGCGUAACUUGGACUCUGCGGGUUGGAGACUUUCACCACCACCACCGCCACCACCAAUAUGACGUCACGGCAAAACAAGCGUGUAAGAGGUGAGAGAUAUACUGUUACUUCUGCUGUUUUCUCCUCGGCAUCAUUA